ACGAACGCUGGCGGCGUGCCUAAUACAUGCAAGUUGAGCGCUGAAGGUUGGUACUUGUACCGACUGGAUGAGCAGCGAACGGGUGAGUAACGCGUGGGGAAUCUGCCUUUGAGCGGGGGACAACAUUUGGAAACGAAUGCUAAUACCGCAUAAAAACUUUAAACACAAGUUUUAAGUUUGAAAGAUGCAAUUGCAUCACUCAAAGAUGAUCCCGCGUUGUAUUAGCUAGUUGGUGAGGUAAAGGCUCACCAAGGCGAUGAUACAUAGCCGACCUGAGAGGGUGAUCGGCCACAUUGGGACUGAGACACGGCCCAAACUCCUACGGGAGGCAGCAGUAGGGAAUCUUCGGCAAUGGAAGAAAGUCUGACCGAGCAACGCCGCGUGAGUGAAGAAGGUUUUCGGAUCGUAAAACUCUGUUGGUAGAGAAGAACGUUGGUGAGAGUGGAAAGCUCAUCAAGUGACGGUAACUACCCAGAAAGGGACGGCUAACUACGUG
rnacentral:rRNA from 1 species